GAUGAACGCUAGCGGCAGGCCUAAUACAUGCAAGUCGAACGGUGUCUUCGGACAUAGUGGCGCACGGGUGCGUAACACGUAUGCAACCUACCUUACAUUGGGGGAUAGCCUUUCGAAAGGGAGAUUAAUACCGCAUAAGACAGUAGCUGGGCAUCCAGCAGCUGUUAAAGAUUUAUCGAUGUAAGCUGGGCAUGCGUCCAAUUAGCUAGUUGGUGAGGUAACGGCUCACCAAGGCAAUGAUUGGUAGGGGAACUGAGAGGUCAAUCCCCCACACUGGAACUGAGAUACGGGCCAGACUCCUACGGGAGGCAGCAGUAGGGAAUAUUGGGCAAUGGACACAGGUCUGACCCAGCCAUGCCGCGUGCAGGAUGAAGGCGUUAUGCGUUGUAAACUGCUUUUAUACAGGAAGAAACGACUCUUGCGAGAGGCAUUGACGGUACUGUAUGAAUAAGCACCGGCUAACUCCGUGCCAGCCGCCGCAGUAACAC
rnacentral:rRNA from 1 species